UGCAUAUCAAUAAGCGGAGGAAAAGAAACCAACAGGGAUUGCCUCAGUAACGGCGAGUGAAGCGGCAAAAGCUCGAAUUUGAAAUCCUCUUCGGAGGAGUUGUAAUUUGAAGCUGGUUCUUUAGGGAGUUUUGUUUUUGGCUGCGGAAGUGCCUUGGAACAGGCCGCCGUGGAGGGUGAGAGCCCCGUAUCGUGGCCAGCAAGAUUUUCGUAUAAGGGCUAGCGAAGAGUCGAGUUGUUUGGGAAUGCAGCUCUAAGUGGGUGGUAUAUUCCAUCUAAGGCUAAAUAUGGGCGAGAGACCGAUAGCAAACAAGUACAGUGAUGGAAAGAUGAAAAGAACUUUGAAAAGAGAGUGAAAAAGUACGUGAAAUUGUUGAAAGGGAAGGGUAUUUGAUCCGACAUGGUAUUUAGAUGUCGCUUGCCCCCGUGGCGGGCGCUCCAUCUUUUUACUGGGCCAGCAUCGGUGCUGGGCGGGACAGGAGGUUUCUGUGAAUGUAGCCCUUCGGGGAACUUAUAGAACAGGAUUCAUACGUCUCUCCCCCGGUACCGAGGACUGCGGGAAACCAAGGAUGCUGGCAUAACGAGCAAAUACCGCCCGUCUUGAAACCACGGACCA
rnacentral:rRNA from 1 species